CCGAAGCACAACGUUCCUUAACGCCGCAGCCGGACGACCGUGGUGCCCCGGGCACGCGUGAAGGACACGGACAGGGGCCACCCUUCUCUCGUGGGUUUUGUCCGGGUGAGCGACGGACAGGACUGCUGUCGGGCUGUCACCCAGGAGCAGAGCAGUGAGGAGCUGAUCUGAAGCGCAGCGAGGUCUGGAGGGAGAGAGCCAGAUCCUAGGGACCUCUGGGAAGGCAGAAGAUGAUCUGUCACUGCUGUGAGAACAGGAUUGAUGGUGGGGGAGUGCUCCCAAGCGUGUCCAGCCAACAUUUCUGGUGCUUCAGAAACAGUCAAUGACCAGGUGGGCCUGCCUGUCGCAGGAGGAAAAAGGAGGACCCGGAAGGCAGGAACGAACCCUCAGGGCGCUCAAGGGUCUGCUGUGGGUCCCCAGCGUGCUGGGUUCAGCCACACCUGAAUCACAACUCCUGAGUCCAGCCACACCUGAGACGCAGGCGACUGCAAGCUGCAAACAGCACCGCCAGCAGAAACAUGAGCUCAGCUCAUACUAGGAGAAGUGAGCAUGGCCACGCUUUAAACGAGCAGAGAUGAAGGUCUGUCUGGCAUUUUACAAUAUUCAUGUAGAAAAAUGGCACCCAGCAGCAAUAAGCAGAGGAUCUGCCCCCGCCAAGGCAUCUGGUAUGGUUCUCAUUUACACACGAAACAUAUUUUCUUAGGCAAAAUCUCAGAAUAUUCCAGGCUCACACACUCACACACAGAACUCAAGAUUUUUGCUCAGCCCCAUGACAUCC